rnacentral:lncRNA from 1 species
CAGACAAGGUGCUCUCCCUGUUUACAUCUGCUAAGAAAAUGUCACAAUUCUUGGUGCAGCUCACUUCUGGCAAGCAGCUACCACAAACCUGGGCACCCGUUUAAGCUCUCCCAUACAUUUGUGUACUGUCUCCCUGUCCCAAAGAGAGUUUCAUCCCCUGAAUCCACCUCCCAGGAUGCUGUGGGAAUUUGCCAUUGUGUGGCAGCCACACUCUUUCAAUUAAACAGAAAAUAUCAAGUGAGCUUAACUUGUGGACAGCAUUGACAUUAGCUUAAACUUGGCUUAUAUUUUGCAAAGCAAGGCAACAGUCAGACCCCUCCAGAGAGACCCCAUGAGCACAUUGCCUCUGUAUGUGACCAGCACCAGCCGUGUCAGAGGCUAAGCCCCUCAUGUCUUCAGACAAAGCCAUCUGUGCCAGCACCCCUAUCUGCUUCAGAAGAAAUCAGCAGUUGAGCUCAGGUGACCUCAGUUUAAUCAGCUGAAGCCACAUCAGCUGAAGUUACCUGUAGCAGCACAGGCAAGGCUACAUAAACAGCCUCACCGCAGCCCUGAGGUUGCUGCCUCUAGCAGGGUGCUGCUGGGGAGGUGCAGAGCAAGGAAGUUUUCCAAUGGGUGACAAGCACAGACUACGCCAUUUAUGUGAACACAUUAAUCUCCGGAACUUUCAAGAUGUAAAGGAACAUUUGGCAGCUGGGAACCAGGGAGAUGAAGGCAGAGAUUUUGUAACCGAAAGCAGUGUGCCACUUUAAUAUCAAACCCAGAAUAUUUCAUGGGAAAGAUGGAAAUGGAGCUUCCAGUCGGGAAAAGUCGAGGUGAAGCAGGGCAGUUUCCACUGAGAAGCAGCACCAAAUAUCCCUCUCUUCACCUCCCUGUGACACACCUUGGCUGUCUCCAGGGAGCCUGUCCUCUCCCCAGCACCCUGCAGCAUCUGGGGAACAGACGUGGCAGCAGCUCAAGCUCCAAAAUCUUGAAGAGAAAUGAGAAGAUGGAGCUAGGAUUUCAUCUCAGAAAGGAAAGGUGUGAUCCUACAGGUCUCCCUGCAGGGCUCAGCAGGUGGGAAGGCAGCACAGUCUCUCUGUAGCGAGCAGAGCUGUGGUUUAUCCUCUUUCCCUGCAGAGGGAGGUGCUGGUCCCCCUCCCUCUCCUUCCAGCCCGUCCUCCUCAGUAGCACACUGUAACCCAUGACCCCUCGCAUAAAAGAGGGGAAUACUAAUUGCUUGGAAACACUCCACAGAAAGUGGACGUUAAGUGGACUAGUGCCGACCAGCAAUGGAAAUUACAGCACGGACACCACCAGAAUCCAUCACAACUAAUGCGAUUAGAGCGGAUGGCACAGGAAUUCAUAAUGAUCUGCUCUGUGCCCUGAAGUUGUGUCAGUGUAUCCGAGCUGGGCUUUGCUCUUCUCCUGCCCUCUACUUGCACACUUUGAAGAGUACAGACAAGGGAGGCCCCCCCAGGAGACUUUCAUCCCACCCUGUACCUCUCUCAUAGCACCCUUGUUCCUAAUUGUAUGCAGAGACAACAGCAAUGGCAAUGACUUCAUAACAAGCCCUCCUAAUGAAUAAAUCAUCC